GACGGAAGGUGCAAGCGUUGCUCGGAAUCACUGGGCGUAAAGGGUGCGUAGGCGGCCGCGCAAGUCUGGCGUGAAAGCCCCGGGCUCAGCCCGGGAAGGGCGCUCGAAACGGCGCGGCUCGAGUGCCGGAGGGGAGAGUGGAAUUCCUGGUGUAGCGGUGGAAUGCGUAGAGAUCGGGAAGAACAUCAGUGGCGAAGGCGGUCUGCUGGGCCGUUGCUGACGCUGAGGCGCGACAGCGUGGGGAGCAAACAGG
rnacentral:rRNA from 1 species